AUGGCGGAAAAGCUGCUCAACUCACUCCCCCAUUUUUACUGUCCACUUCCUGUGGACGGCUUCCCUCAGCUUCGAGCCUGGAUCCAGUGCCCAGCAUGUGAAGACGCCUCCUCACCUGUGCUGAGCUGGGCCGGUGAGAGAACGACAGGUGAGGGAGAUGUAUCUAAACGCACACGCACAGGCCAAUCAUGCUCUAGAACAUCCCGUGGAAGGCCCUUUUUAUACUUCCAGGGGUCUGAGCAGACCGUGCUGCCUCGCUCAAGCCUCUGCCGUUCUCGCCACCUCUGUACCUGCUCUCCUGACCCCUUAGGACCACAUCCUCCCAGGGGGCAGAGAGGGGCUCCGGCCGGGGAACGAGUCCCACCUCCCACCAUUGCGGUCCAAAGGUGCAUCACCUUUGCAGACGGUCUGGCCCUGCACAGCGUCACCUUCACAAAGAGAGGCCCGUCCUGCCCACCAUCCACUGUCGCGAGAGGACAACGGACGGGGAAGGAGGAGGCAACGGAGGUCCGGCCACCCACCUGGCUGCUGGGACCCGGCCUUUCAUCCUCGGAGCCUCCUGGUCCCCGCCCUGAGGGGCGGCAGAAACACAGCUGGAGUGAAGCUGUCACCGGCCCCCUUAAGUGAGUGUCCCCCAACCCAUCCAGAAACAGCCACGCCUGUCGCUGCGACGAAACGGGAAGUAUGUUUAGUAACAGAUCAGACGAUUCCCUCCAAAGUAGGGAAAAUAAUAUUAAAGUGGAGAGGCUUUCUUAUUAAGGGAGCCUACCUCACCUGCCCGGCUUGAAACUGUGCCCCUGUUGUCUCUGGAACAAAACCACACUCACGUCGGGGUUCCCGGCUUCCACAUUUCAGGGGCUGGGGGCACGGAAACAGCCUGAUGGAGUUUGGGGAAAUUACUCGCUUCCUGCGAGUUUUCCUUUACCCCAGACCCCAUAAACGGAUGGAUGCUGCUGGUGUUUGUUUUAACCAGACCGUCUGAGACCUGAAGACACACGGGCAGGUCUGGAUUUCACUGUCAUGAGCCUUUUUUGCAGACUCCUCUGAGGAGGGGCACAGCCGCUCCCGGGUGAAGCAGGGGCUGGGGGGGUCUCUGAACCCCAAGAUGGAGUGGCCCCCGAGUAGCGGCUGUUACUCGCCUGCGGCCCCCGUGUGGUCUGUGCUCUACAGGAAACGGGCACUCGUGAGCGUCUCUCCCAGCCGUCCUGCUUCUGGGGUCACAUUCACCCAGCCUCCAACGACCUUGCCUCAGAAACAGCCCUCCUGACAUUGGCCUCAUCCACAGCUGCUGCAAAAUUGAAGUUUAAACGAAAGGGGAAGGACAAGACACCUGCAGGGCUGGGGGCCGGGGAGCCUUUGAAGUGUGGGUGCCGAGCGCUUUGCCACCUUUCGGGUGGCAAAUGGGUUUUCCUUCAGAGAAAAUCAAAUCCUUUGAGAGGGUGCCUGACCAGAGAAGAUGGGGACCGAGGUGUGGGCCGCCGUUCCAGACGGGAACCAGCUCCCCGGGUAGUGACGUUCGGCCGAGGAAGCACUACCCAGCCCUGCCCGCCUCUGCUGACCCCCUCCCCCACGACCGUCCCCACACCGAGUGGACGGCUUUGCUGCAGAGCUGGCUGAGUGCACCCUC
ensembl:lncRNA